rnacentral:rRNA from 1 species
GACGAACGCUGGCGGCGUGCUUAACACAUGCAAGUCGAACGGUGAUGCUCCAGCUUGCUGGAGUGGAUCAGUGGCGAACGGGUGAGUAACACGUGAGCAACCUGCCCCAGACUCUGGAAUAAGCGCUGGAAACGGCGUCUAAUACUGGAUACGAAACUGGCCCGCAUGGGCAUGGUUUGGAAAGUUUUUCGGUUUGGGAUGGGCUCGCGGCCUAUCAGCUUGUUGGUGAGGUAAUGGCUCACCAAGGCGACGACGGGUAGCCGGCCUGAGAGGGCGACCGGCCACACUGGGACUGAGACACGGCCCAGUCUCCUACGGGAGGCAGCAGUGGGGAAUAUUGCACAAUGGGCGAAAGCCUGAUGCAGCGACGCCGCGUGAGGGAUGACGGCCUUCGGGUUGUAAACCUCUUUCAGCAGGGAAGAAGCGAAAGUGACGGUACCUGCAGAAGAAGCACCGGCUAACUACGUG